rnacentral:misc_RNA from 1 species
ACGCUUAAAGAUUUCAAUAAAUGUUCUUUUAGUGAUCUUCUAUAUUUGCGUUUGUAUUCUUCUAUAUUGCGUGUUGUCGUAAUAACUACUUUGUUUUAUACAACUAGGUCAUAGGUAUUAAAAAUAAAACAUAUUCAUUUUAAAUGUUUAUAUGUAUAUUUAAAGAGUCUGUAUAAGAAUAGAAGUGCAUGUUCCUUCUUCGACUAUCCAACACAAAAAUAAUCCUUGAAUUCGAACAACUAGUUUUAGAGAUUAGCGCGUACAAAGAAACAAACUCUUCAGAUUUAUAAUGUUAAUCUCAGUAAUUUAAAAAAAAAAACUAGUUGUAGAUUAAUGAAAAUUGAGUUUUCAAGUUUAACUGACUGUCUCGACGAGUGCUUUAUCAUUAAAACAAUAUUGAGAAACGAAUAUACACAAGAUAGGGUAUAAAACAAUCAAGUCAUAUAACAUUACAUAAGGAAGAUAUUUGUUUUAUAUGCUUUAAUUAAGCCGAAUUGGUUGCCGUGUUUAGUUAGGUCGGUUGGUAAACUGUGAGAUACGUGACGCCUUAAAGUUCUUGAGAGCAAUCGUCUCUUCUAUGUGUAAAUUGUCAUGUUAAAUUAGUUUUGUAGAACUUUAGAUACUAUAAAACUAUAUACGAGCAGUUCAGUAUGAGAUAAAUUCGUAUCAAAUAAGUUAUUAAAUGUAAUAAUCUAUAAUAUAUAUAAAAGCGAAAGGUCACUCACUCAUCACGAAAUCUCCGAAACUAUAACACCUACAACCUUGAAAUUUGGCAGAUAGGCUUCUUAUAGGGCGUAGACAUUCGCUAAGAAC